ACAAGGCUGGGACCCCAGCCCCACAUUGUGCCAGGGAAGCAGUUGGUGCUUUAUCAGCUGUGAAGGUUGAUAGUGUGCUUUCUAUAUAAUGAAGUUUCCGUUACAAAGCUUGGAUUCCAACUUCAGCACCCCACCAUUGAAGACUUCAAACAGCAAGUGGAUAUAGUCAAGUUGAAGAUUUUUCUCUGAAAUUGUUUAAGUAGCAAGAAAACUGGCCGUCUAAAUCACAAAAUCAGCAAAACAAAAAGUGUCAUUGAAAUAGCCCAAUGAUUGAAUUGUUACUGCUUACUGGAGCUGGGAGUACAGUUUGGAAAGACACUUCUAUAAAAGACGAAGUUGGUUGUACUUCCCAUGAAACCAUUACUUGAAGACACACGUUUGCAUAAUAGCAAUGAGACAAAAAUUUUCAUAUCUAAUGCCCUUGUCUUCAAAUUUUUCAUCUUCUGGUAAGUGAAAAUACAUUGUACUAUUUAAAGUACUGUGUCCAUCUAAUAUAACCAAGCCUUCAAACCUACAUAGAAUCCUUGAUAGGAAUUUAGUAUUCAAAAUUCUAUUACUUCCUUUUACUGUUGCUAUGGUCAACUCAUGAGACAUUAGCAGUUUGCCUGGAAUAAGACAAAGUACAAGUUAUAAAUUAAUAAAGAAAGCAUAUGUAGUAAUAGAGGCAUUGGUGAUAUCUGAUCAUGAGUAACUCCUAAUUAUGUUAUUGAUAUAGUAAUAAUUUAUAUAAUUAAUUACAAUAAUUUAUUGCUGUAUUAAUGAGAUAGUAAAAUAAAAUAUUUAUUCACCUUUCACCCUGUUUCAAAAUAAGAAUUUAAAGCAAUAUGUGAAGAGCCAUACAACAAAAUAUAGAAGAACUUUUAAAAGUUGAAUGAAUUGAGGCAAAGAAAAAAAUAAGAUAUAGAAAAAAAUCAUUAAAUCUGUAGGGAAAUUUGGUACACAAAAUGCAAGAUAAAUUUGCUACCCUAGUAGAGAUGCGUCACACAUUGGCUUUAAGCUUCCAAGUAG
rnacentral:lncRNA from 1 species